rnacentral:rRNA from 1 species
AAAACAUCUCAAAAUAUAUUAUAUAAUAUAAAGUAAUUCAAAGGGGUUAUUAAGGAAAACUAAGGCAAAUUUAUAAAAAAAGGAGGUCUAAUACCAAAAGCUUACUAACAAUAAAGUCUUAAGUAAGCGCUCCUAAGGUAAACCUUAUUAAUCAAUUACUUCCUGAAGUAAAACAUUUUAUUAGGGAAAGGAAAGGAAAUCAACCGAGACUCCGAAAGUAAUGGUGAGUGAAAUCGGAUUAGCCUAAUUAAUUAAUAAAUUGAAAAACUUAAGUAUUUAGCAACGAAGGAAGAAAAGUUCAUCUUUAUUAUUUAACCUUUGCCUCCUACCGUAGAGUGAGUACCCCUUUUAUUAGGGACUUAUUCCUCCUACGGAGGGGGGCCAGGAAUCUAAUAUAGGAAAGAAUUCUCUCUCCUUCUGGCCUUAGGUUCCUUUUUCUUUUUCUCUUUUCCCUCUCCUGCCGGGCCCUUUUUUAUUUUUCCUCCUUCGGUUGCUCCUGCUGGUGCGCCCGAAGGGCAAGAAGGAGAGCUAGAGAAACAAAAGGAAUAAGUCCAAAGCGGGGGAAAGGUUGGUACAAAAGACAAGGAGCGGGAUGCAAAAAUAUAUUAGUUAGUAAUACUUUAAUAAAAACAAGUAGUGUUUAACAUUAUAUAGUUAUAUAUAAGAAUUACUCUAAAGAAGGUGAAAAACUAUAAGACCUGUAGGUUUAUUAAUUAAUAUUAGAAUAAGAUAAAAGAAUAUUUACCCCUCGGCCCUCCACUCCUUCGGACCCCUGCCCUAGCCCUCCGAAGGCAUCCUUUUUUCCCCUGCCUGCUUAUAGUCCUUCUCUCCUGUCCGAAGGACUCCUUCGGAGAGGAGAAGUACGAGAAGCAGGUAGGACAUAAAAAAGGUGGCCUUCUGAGUCAAGGACAGGGCAAGGGUUUAAAAAAAUCUUUGAUUUUUUAUUUAGUCGGGGGUUCUACGAAGGGAUCAAGAUUCUAAAUUUAUCUAAAUAAAGUACGAUGAGAGAAAACUUGUCGGAAUAUAGGGGUACCAUCCUCUAAGGCUAAGUAUUAUAAAUUUAGCGAUAGUGAAUAAGUACUGUAAAGGAAAAGUUUGAAAAGCAAGUGGUAUACAAAAAAAUGAAUUUUUAAAAUAGUGAGUAUUAUUCCAUAGGAUUCGUUCCUUUCCCCUUCUCUCCUCCACCCCUUUCUUAUAAAUUAUAAGACUUUAUAAGACUUUAUUUUAUAAAAAAAGGACAGGUAGGAUUCCUAAAAGCUAAAAAAUUUUGGGUCUGUGGGAGGUGAGGACCAAAAAAAGGCUGCUUCCCCCCCCCUUUCCCUUUUAACCCUCCUUCGGCGCCCCUUCCUUAACUGUGAGGGGCGCCGAAGGGGAGAAUCAUAAAGGAGGGACCAAAAAGGGGGGGGGGGGUAGGGAAAAAUAUGAACAUUUAGAAAUGAAUUGGUGAAAUAGAUCUUGAAUUAGUAACUCUAUAAGCAGUCGAAAUUCUACUUUAGUAAAAGAUUCAUGAAUGACGGCGUACCUUUUGCAUAAUGGGUCAGCAAGUUAAUAGGAGUAGCAAGGUUUAAAGCCCUAGCGAAAGCGACUGGACUAUAAUUUAAAAAAUACAAGAAAAAAAAAAUUUUUGUAUUAUAAGUACACAUAGUGAUGGGUCAGUUACUUCUAUUAGACCCGAAGCCAGGUGAUCUUACCAAGACCAGAUUAUAAUGGAUCGAACGGGUGAAUGUUGCAUAAUUCUCCGAUGAGUUUUGGUAAGCGGUGAAAUGCCAAUCUGACCUGGUGCUAGCUGGUUUUCUACCGAAACAUAUUUAAGUAUGACGUCUACACAAAAUUUAUGGAGGUACAGCAAGGCAAUUCCCAACAAGUUUAAGGGUUGUGUUUUUAACACAUCAGCCUUUUAGGCGUUUAGGUUGCGGGGACCUCGAAAAUCUUACCUUUGGAAGCGAAUCUCGGAAUUACAUAAAUUGAUGGUAGAUAUUCAGACUACUCAUGCUAAGUUGGGUAGUCAAGACGGAAACAGCCGAGAACACUGAUCAAGGUCCCAAAUGAUUGUUAAGUGAAAUUAAGGACGUAGCAAUAUCGUAUACAGCUGUGAAGUGAGCUUGGUAGUCGCUACUUUUAAUGAUCGUAUGUAACAACGCAUCAGCAGUCUAGAUAGUAGCGCCGAAAAUUUAACGGGUCUUAAACAAUCAACCGAUAUCGUGUUGGUUUAGAGUUUUAAGCUGAUUAAUAAAUUACAUUAAGACUUUUAACAAAAAAAUAAACCUAGGUAGUAGAACAUUCAGUCAAACCCAUCAUAAAAUAGUGUUUCAUUAUUUUUUAGGUUACUGAAGAGAGAAUGCUGACAUGAGUAACGUAAAAAGAAGUUAUAAUACUUCUCGCCGAAUACGAAAGGGUUGCAAAUAGGAAAGGUUAAUCCGUUUUGUUUGAAUGCGGCCUCUAAGGACCAAAACCAAAGUUUUGGCUGAUGAGUAUAUAAUAGAAAGUCCAUUUUUUUAGUGGACCAGGAAAUGAAUAUUAUAAGUAAUAACAUUUUACCGUAUAACGAUGUCGACUCAUCCUAUCCUCCGGGGGAAGAAGCUUGGAAGGGUUCGGCUGUUCGCCGAUUAAAAGGGUACGUGAGUUGGGUUUAAUACGACGUGAGUCAGUAUGGUCCCUAUCUUCUGGAGGGAUAAUUAGUAAAAAGGGGCAGACCUUCUAGUACGAAAGGAUCAAUAGGCUGUGUUUCUCUAGUGUACCAAUUGUUGGUACUAUUUUGUUUAAGACCCUUUAUCUCUUAAAACAGAUAAAAGGGUAAAAUCCUUUUGGACUUUAAGCUAAAAGUUCUUUAAUUUAAAUACCUUUAAAAAGGUUAUGAUAAAAGGUCACAAAAUGGGAACGCAUAGUUGGGUAGCCACAAACAUAAUAGAUAAGUGCUGAAUGUCUAUAAAGCAAGAAUCUAACCCCUAGAUACUUUAAAAAUGAGGAUUUAUCUUUAUUACAAUCCUACGCUCCUUCGGCCGCACUCCUUUUCCUUUUUUUUUAUAUAAAAAAAAAGGACAGGACUCCGAAGGAGAGAGGCCUAGUAUAAUUUAGAUGUAAUAUCAUUAAUUAAGAAAUAGAACAUUUCUAGAUAGGCUGCAAAUAUAACAUAUUGUAAAAUACUUAGUUUAGCAGUACUAAUUUAUAAAGAAACUAG